rnacentral:tRNA from 1 species
UGUGGCACAAUGGAUAGUGCAUUGUAUUUAUAAUUCAAGGUCGUGGGUUCGAAUCCACCCUAA